GGCCACUUCCAAAGACAAGAGUGCUAAUUGAUCACAACCAGUUACAGAUUUCUUUGUUCCUUCUCCACUCCCACUGCUCCACUUGACCAGCCUAAA
rnacentral:Y_RNA from 1 species